rnacentral:lncRNA from 1 species
GAGUUUGUGAAGUCUAAUAGAGAAAUAACACAAUAGCACGGAGCAAUUCAGUCACUACGUUUCUGCCACUUCACAUUGAGGGUCACAUGCAAUGACAAAUACUGAAACUUGCACCAUACAUCAACUUGGAGAAACACUGGCUUUUGAUCAUUGCAUUUUUUGCUUUAAAAAAAAAAAAAAAGCUUAUGAUUUCCUGACAUUUCCUUUGCUGAUUGAGCUAUACUGAUCCCAUAAUAAAGUACAAAGCAGUGUAAGUUCCCCCUGCAAAUCCACUCAUUAUCCACUGGACUUUGGAACCCAACUGCCCCUCUCAUCUCACAAGGAGGACUGUGCUUUUAUGCUGUUCUUU